ensembl:lncRNA TAF1A-AS1 TAF1A antisense RNA 1
AGUGACUUCUGGAAGUGACCCAGGAAGUGACAUUUUAGCUUUAGGUUUAAUUGGUUCGACUGCCUUCUCCACAAUUUGGGCGAGAAUUUCCUUUGCCUUCUCAGCAAAAGUUGUUCUGCGGACCCGUCUGGGUCAACUUUCAUGAGGGACAUUGAGACAAACAAAUGAAAUAUGGGUUAAAGUACUCUGAGCAGCUACAAAAAGAAGACCAGUCUAUCCUGCUGGAGACAGUGGCCACGUGAAGAAAGAGCUCUUGCAGUAUGAAAGACCACAUGGAAAGAGAGGCCACAUGGAACCAACAGUCAGCAUCUUGGUUUCGGACACGUGAAGAAAUUCAUCUCAGACUGUGUAUCCUAAAUCAGGCACUUGCUGAAUCUAACUACAUGAGUGAGACCAGUUGACAACACAUGGAGCAGACAUGAGCUGUUCUCAGUGAGUCCUACACAAAUUCCUGACUCACAACACUGUGAGCAAUAAAAUGGUUGUUAUUUUAAGCCACUGAAGUUUGCAGUGAUUUCUUACAUAGGAAUAGAUAAAUGAAACACAAACAUUGAUCAUUUGCAUCUUCUAUCUUUUUUAUGACUAGUCUUAUUGGAAAUUACCAGUUUAUUUCUGCCAUGGUUAGAAAACAAACUCUGAAAUUUUGAUACUUUAAAAUUUUUUUGAGACUUACUGUGCCCAGAAUAUAGUCUAUCUUGGUGAAUGUUCUGUGAGCACUAGACAAGAAUAUGUAUUCUGUAGUUAUUGAGC